ensembl:lncRNA
CUGGCAGGUGGGUGAGGGGGCGGCAGACAGCCGCAGGCGGCACAAGGAGCUUCCGGAGGGUCGCUUUCUGGGUGGAAAUUUCUGGAUGUUAGUGGACUGGCAGCUGGAAAGGCAGGCUUUGGCUGUGCUGUGAAGGACCUUGACCGCCAGGGCAAAGCACUCAGGCUCCAGCCAACACUGCAGCAUUUCCCAGAGCACACGCCUCAGAACACCCCUUGCCUUGAUGUUCCACACCGCAAAGUUCUGUGCUCAGAUAAGCUCUAGAAAUGCCAGGCUCUACGUCGCCUCUCAGAGAAUCGUAAUCUAAACAGCACAUCAAAGGCCCUGAAAAUUCCUGCAGGGAACAAUCUGUUUGACUUCACUUAGCCCAGCAAUCCCCACUCACCUGACCAAGGGCUCCCUUCCUCACAGAAUCCCUGUGGACACCUGCACAACCCACUGGAAAAACGCCAGUGGAGAAAGGAGUGAGCUGCCAAGUGUUUUGAGCAGGGUCAGCACUGCGUGAUCAGAGCUCAGCGCACAGAGGAGCUGCGCCCUGUGUGUGCACCCUGAUCUACCCCUCCCCAACCCAAACAUCUAGGAGGCAGAACGGAUGCGAGAAGCAAGAAAAGAGGUAAAUCACAGUCGUGAAUCACCCUGAGCCUGUCCCACACUCAGCUGGGCCCUUGUUUACAGAUUCUCAUUUGAUCUCCAUCAUGAACGUUAGUUACCAUCCACUACCCAAGCUUCAGGUGAGGAAACUGAGGCUCAGAGACGUGAAGUGACCUGCCCAAGGUCACCCAGCUAAUGAAGGAAAGAGCUGGGGCCCAGCCGAGGCCUUUAGAUACAGCGUUUCAGCUCCCACUCCCGCCAUGCUCAGCUCUGAACCACAGAGGGGAAUCUAACAACCAGGCAGCCCUAAUCCAAAGAGAGAGCAGGUUUCCAAGGAGAAGGAGGAGAGGUGUUGGGAACAUGCAGUUAUUUACAGGAUGCCGUGUGGGUUGCUGCAGGAGAGAGGGAGCCGUCCUGAGGUGAGGAGGGAACGGGAGGUGCUGGGUCCUCAGUUUCCACAUCUAGAGAGCCGAGGGGAUCACGCCAGUUUCUCUGGGAGGUGCAGCCAGGAAAGGAGAGAGCAUGCAUUCAGGGAUCACACUGUGCCUGGAGCACAGAGGGGCUUCGAGCAGCCGCGCUAUCCCUCAGGGGGGACCCAAGGGGACUGUGGCCUGACCCCAGGGACUGCGGCCUGACCCCAGGGACUGCAGGCCCCAGGUUCCCCUGAAGCAAGGGAGGAAUCUGCUUAGAUCUGCAACGGAGGCUCUCAGUUCUCCCCAAAUGGCAAUUUGAGAAAGAAAUUACCCCAGCUGAUGAGAUUAGAGCACUUGGGGCUGGGGAUAGCAAAAUUCAGAGACUCUCCGUGAGUUUGACCUGACCCUUGACCUCCUAGCAAAUGACCCCAUCCCAACUGAGUAACAUUCUGGCCGCUCAGUGUGGCUGACAAGGACCCAGAGGAUGCCCAGCUCUCUACCCCCGGCUCCCUACACUUCCUCCCACCCGGGCUCCUUUCUGUUCCAGGAAUAGGCCACUCUCACACUCAGCCCAGGGAGAGGGGGGUCCUUCAGCCCAAAUCUGCUGCCCCACAUCAUCCCACAUUCAGGCCAAGCUCCAGUGUCAUCCCCAGAAGCCUUUCCCAGACACCCCCACCCCAUCUUUCUUUCUCAAAUCUCCCUGUUCUGUUCCAUCAGCACGCUCACCACGCUCUGAAACAUCUGUCUUUCCAUUUCCUUGCUAAUUGCCUGACCACGCCUGCCAGAAACACUCCGUGAGGCAGGUCCCUCUUGUCUCUUGUCCACCCUCUUCCAUCACCAGCCCUGAGCAGGUGCCUGGGGAGCCGUGUGACCUGGAUGCCACUCUCUCCAAGGCAGGGGUGUGACAGCCAUUCCCUGCGUGCCUCCAUGUGCCAGCCAGCGCCUGUGCGUGCACGGUCUCAGCUCUCCAGUGCAUCUUAAAGAAAGUGGCAACGCCCCUUUUGCCGAUGAGGAAACAUAAGCAGGAUAGGCCUGUCCCACGGGGACAGUGCCGUUCCCCCAGG